GGACAGUCACUUCUUUCCCUUUACUUUGAGGUAUUGACAUAUUUCAAUGCCUCUUUUGUUUUAUGUUAAAGGUUAUUUUUGUGUGAAAUUUUAAUGAAUUUAAGUUUUGAUCUUAACAGAAAAUAGAUUGCCCUACAUUUAUGAAAAGGGGGUUGUCAUGGAAUCAUAUGUACAGUAAUACAUUUGGGGUCGUUUUUCGUUUUGUCGUAAAAGUCACGAUUGCUAAUAAUAUUGCUAAUUGAACUUAAUAGCUUCAACAUUUAAAAUCAAAUUUCCCAGUUUUGCAAGCUUUCGUCGCAAAGCUUGCAUUCUCAGUAUUUUUGAUAUUGCAUUUUGUAAUAUAAAGAUACCUGGGAUUUGCCAACAAUUGAGGUAUCAUACUGUCAUACUAUUAUAGAUGGACGCACCGGACUGAGAGUGAAAGGUUAUCCCAGUCCUCUUUCCGUUAAUGUAUAAAGGAUGCUGCAUUUAUAUUUUAAGUGUUCAUGGUCCACGAAUCGAAUUGAUUCGUUCUCAGUUUUCAAAGAAAUUCAAUGAUAGAGUUGAAUGUAAUUGCUAAUAUGUUCUUAUGUCUGACAAUGUAAAAAGUUCAUGAUAAUUAUUUAUGUAUACUACUGAUAUCAAAUAAAGAUUAUUAGUAUU
rnacentral:misc_RNA from 1 species